UGGUUGGGAAUCAAAGCAGCUAUUAAUGAUUUACAUGCUAACCGAUUGCGGCUAGAAGGGGAUUCUAAUACUGCUGUUUCUUGGAUAAACCUCUCUGACACCUGUCUAAACGCACACCUUUCUUUUCUGCAGGACUUAUGGCAUUGGAAAAGGACAGCGAUAUUCUUUAAGGCAUCACAUGUAUUGCGGGAAGCAAAUCAAGUAGCUGAUUACAUGUCUCAUGUUGCUUUGCAG
rnacentral:lncRNA from 1 species